rnacentral:rRNA from 1 species
UGGGGAAUAUUGCACAAUGGGCGCAAGCCUGAUGCAGCCAUGCCGCGUGUGUGAGGAAGGCCUUCGGGUUGUAAAGCACUUUCAGCGAGGAGGAAGGUGGUGAACUUAAUACGUUCAUCAAUUGACGUUACUCGCAGAAGAAGCACCGGCUAACUCCGUGCCAGCAGCCGCGGUAAUACGGAGGGUGCAAGCGUUAAUCGGAAUUACUGGGCGUAAAGCGCACGCAGGCGGUUUGUUAAGUCAGAUGUGAAAUCCCCGGGCUCAACCUGGGAACUGCAUUUGAAACUGGCAAGCUAGAGUCUCGUAGAGGAGGGUAGAAUUCCAGGUGUAGCGGUGAAAUGCGUAGAGAUCUGGAGGAAUACCGGUGGCGAAGGCGGCCCCCCUGGACGAAGACUGACGCUCAGGUGCGAAAGCGUGGGGCAGCAAACAGGAUUAGAUACCCUGGUAGUCCAGCGCUGUAAAACGAUGUCGAUUUUGGAGGUUGUGCCCUUGAGGCGUGGCUUCCGGAGCUAACGCGUUAAAUCGACCGCCUGGGGAGUACGGCCGCAAGGUU